ensembl:miRNA
GAUGCUGGCCAAGGGCGCCCGGGCCGGGUCUCCGCUCCGGCCCCUCCUGGGGCCCGCACUCUCCCGCCGGGC